rnacentral:misc_RNA from 1 species
AAAAUGUAUCCAGAUUUUAUGGGGAAGGAGGAUUAUCAGUCCUACAAGUCGACCAAAAUUUUGGGAAGACUUUAUCGACAGGUUAAAGAUGCUUAUGAUGAUAAUGUUGAGUCUGCAUCUUCAGAGCUCAACAUUGUUCCUGGUGACAUCCCUUAUGAUAGGGAUUUGGAGGUUUUCGGAUCAUCUGAUUACAUUCUGGAUGCCUG